UACGUAGGGGGCAAGCGUUGUCCGGAAUCAUUGGGCGUAAAGCGCGCGUAGGCGGCCCGGUAAGUCCGCUGUGAAAGUCCAGGGCUCAACCCUGGAAAGCCGGUGGAUACUGCCGGGCUAGAGUCCGGAAGAGGCGAGUGGAAUUCCUGGUGUAGCGGUGGAAUGCGCAGAUAUCAGGAGGAACACCAAUAGCGAAGGCAGCUCGCUGGGACGUUACUGACGCUGAGACGCGAAAGCGUGGGGAGCAAACAGG
rnacentral:rRNA from 1 species